rnacentral:rRNA from 1 species
GACAGAGGCCUCGAGCGUUAGGCGGAAUCACUGGGCUUAAAGCGUGUGUAGGCGGAAGCGUAAGUACCUUGUGAAAUCCCACGGCUCAACCGUGGAACUGCUGGGUAUACUGCGUUUCUUGAGCCAUUUAGGGGCGAGUGGAACGGAUGGUGGAGCGGUGAAAUGCAUAGAUAUCAUCCGGAACGCCUGUGGGGAAGACGACUCGCUGGGAAUGUGCUGACGCUGAGACACGAAAGCCAGGGGAGCAAACGGG